GGGCGCAACGCGCUUGCGCAGGUCGAGGGCCGGAGGGAGGUGGAGGCGCUGUGGUCCAACUGCUGAGGAGUCUCCAUGUGACAGUGAGCGGCGUCCCGGCUCCAGGCGACGCCAGACUCUGGUUCCCGACCCCAAGCUCCGUCCACUGUCCCGGCGCCAGCAGACACCGGCAGGCCGGGGGCCCGCGGUGUUGUCCGGUGGCCGCGGGCGCAGAGUGAGUAGCCGCCGCCGGGCAGGUGCCUGAGGGACCGCCUAGACCCCGACGUCUCCCGAGAGGCGAGCGGCGCGGCGAGCGGGGCUUCUGUCAGCGCGGCGCGGCGAGCGUGGGGACAUGAAUGGCUUCACGCCCGAGGACAUGAGCCGCGGCGGGGACGCGGCCGCCGCCGUGGCCGCCGUGGUCGCCGCUGCCGCCGCCGCCGCCGCCGCCGCCUCGGCCGGGAACGGGGCCGGAGCGGGCGCCGGGGCCGAGGUGCCGGGCGCCGGGGGGGUCUCGGCGGCGGGGCCCCCGGGAGCGGCCGGGCCGGGCCCGGGGCAGCUGUGCUGUCUGCGCGAGGACGGCGAGCGGUGCGGCCGGGCGGCGGGCAACGCCAGCUUCAGCAAGAGGAUCCAGAAGAGCAUCUCCCAGAAGAAGGUGAAGAUCGAGCUGGAUAAGAGCGCAAGGCAUCUUUACAUUUGUGAUUAUCAUAAAAACUUAAUUCAGAGCGUUCGAAACAGAAGAAAGAGAAAAGGGAGUGAUGAUGAUGGAGGAGAUUCACCUGUUCAAGAUAUUGAUACUCCAGAGGUUGAUUUAUACCAAUUACAGGUGAAUACACUUAGGAGAUACAAAAGACACUUCAAACUCCCAACCAGACCAGGACUUAAUAAAGCCCAGCUUGUGGAGAUAGUUGGUUGCCACUUUAGGUCAAUUCCAGUGAAUGAAAAAGACACCUUAACAUAUUUCAUCUACUCAGUGAAGAAUGACAAGAACAAGUCAGAUCUCAAGGUUGAUAGUGGUGUUCACUAGGAGAGAUGGAAUUGAGAGUUUGGCGGCCUCACCGGAGUCCACACACUAGAGCCAGCAGAGCUCCAAAAGUGAUAACCAAAAAUAUAUCUAGACAUUGUCAAAUGUCCCUGGUGGGGACAGAAUCACCCCUGAUUGGGAACUGCUAUGUAGCCAAAUUUAAAGAACAUACUGGUUCAAUAGAAGGAUUAGUACCUUAUCCCAGCAAACAAAAAUUUUCAAGGAGUCCCUAUGGAUUAUGAUGAGAAUAAGAAAAAUUUUAUCAAGAAGAGAUGAGCUAUUAGUGAAUAAAGUACAAAGAGAGUGAGUGGGAGGACUUUUGCCACAAGAGCAGCAAAGACCAAGAAGAGCAAUUCACUGAAGUUGCAGUAACAGAUCAUCUCACAUCCCUUCCCAUCCCAGAAGUGAUCCUGGACGUUUACAUCAAUCUUUGUCAGCACUGUUCACAACAUCCAAGACAUGGGAGCAACCUAAGUGUCCAUCGACAGAGGAAUGGAUAAAGAAGGUGUGGCACAGAUAUACAAUGGAAUAUUACUCAGCCAUAAAAAAGAAUGAAAUAAAGACGUUUGCAGCAACAUGGAUAGACCUAGGGAUUAUCAUACUAAGGCUUAAAUCCUUUUGGAGUCGCUGAGGGUAGGGUUUGGAGAGAAGCAGCAGCUGGUUUCAACCUUCGCAGGCCCCUCCCAGGAGAGAAGGAGGACCUGUUAUAUAAUCCGAGUGACUUGUGCCAAUUGGACAAGCAAGGCUGAAGUGUAAAAUAUCCUGCAUCAGGAAAGCUUCAGCAGUGUAUGCUGGGCUUCCCUGGUGGCUCAGUGGUUAAGAAUCCGCCUGCCAAUGCAGGGGACACGGGUUCGAUCUCUGGUCCGGGAAGAUCCCACAUGCCGCGGAGCAACUAAGCCCGUGCGCCACAACUACUGAGCCUGCGCUCUAGAGCCCGCGAGCCACAACUACUGAGCCCACGUGCCACAACUACUGAAGCCCAUGUGCCUAGAGCCCGUGCUCCACAACAAGAGAAGCCACCGCAAUGAGAAGCCCGCGCACCGCAAUGAAGAGUAACCCCCGCUCGCCGCAACUAGAGAAAAGCCUGCGCUCAGCAACAAAGACCCAACGCGGCCAAAAAUAGAUUAAUUAAUUUAAAAAAGAACAGUUUGGAGAAGCAGCAAGACGGAACAAGACCUUGACCCCCUAGAUCUUCUUGCCUUGUUCCCCGAAUACUCUCAAUUAUGCCAGUACAGCUGGCAAAACGCCUGGGACAAGAUGUAUUCAAUUCAACUUAAAGCAGAGCUAUGUCCGGAGAAACAGACGGCCCACCUAAGGUAGCCUGUUCUUAUUCCUGUUUCACCGACGGACAAGGUAUGUCCAGGAAGCCCAUGUGCAAACGUAGGUGUGGAGGCAGCACGUUAUAGCAGCAAGCACGCGGGCUUUGGAACAAAACAGAUCUGUGUUGCCUGACAGCCCUACCACGACUGCCUGUAGGACUCUGGGCAUCGUACUCCCUGGCUGAGGAUGGCCCAACACUGGAAGGAGGACAAGGCUGAGAGGAGCACGAAGAGGAGAGAGACCCUGACAUUCUCACCCAAGCCCACUCUGCUCUGGUCUCCAAACUAUGCAGAUUAAUCGAUGUCCUUCUUGGGAGACGAUAUGCUUAUUCAAAUGACGUUUUUUGGAGCUCCUGUGGAAGAACUGUCGGUGAACAGUCAGCCACGGAAGAAAUGGAUCUCCUGUCUCUAUCGAGGCAUAGCAUUCUCUCUCCUCCCUCCUCAGCCAGCUUCAGCUAAUGGUGGUUGCAAAGCACCAAGCUGAUCUCCCCGUGCUAUGCAGCUGCUUCCCACUAGCUACCUAUUUGUUCCCCAGUUCCCGCAGGGUGACUCGGGUGGCCACCCGGCGACUGCACGGCGGCAGGUGUCAUUACAGGAGAGGAACCUGGGGCUCAAGGCAGGCAAGCCUUGUACGAUGGGAAGUAAGGGUGCCGCCCCUUCUCCAGAGGGAACCUCCGUCUCCGAGGUUCCAGGCUGCCCACUUGUAGGCGUCCUUGUAAAGACGGUCCCUCCAGAACAGAGGUGUAAGCGUCUCUGCCUGCAAGAUGUCAGACACAGGAGAGGCCCGUGGAGAACCGUCUCCCGCCCGACGUGACACAGCGCACGCCAAGCGCGGCACCAGGACGGAAGCACCCCGGUCCCCUGUGAGUGAGCAGAGCGCGCUGGGGGCCGCGCAGUCGGGGGCCUGGACGGGAGGGCGAGGCUGGACCAAGAGCGGGAAGAGGGCUCCGACCCCCAUGCAGGUGCGCAGACGCGGUACAAUGAGGCGUUCGCAGACCUACCGAAGAGCACUUUGGUGGAAGGGAGAGCGUUACAGGAAAGCCGUGGGGUCUGCACGUCCCGGCAGGGCCUGGGAUGCCUGAGGAAGUUCCCACAGUGAGGAGGAGGGUCGGCAAUGGUGCCGCCGGCGACACGGCUCGGGAUGGCCGGAGUGGAGGAGACGGGAGGCGAGGCAGGGACCGGUCUGGGCAUCAAGUGCUGGGUGCGCGAGCGCUUCCCACACGGCAGGGCAGCGCACCUGUACGUAUUGUUUCGCCUCCUUUACUAGGGAGCAGGCAGGCAAGCUUGCAGGGAACUUCGUGUCUGUAAGGAUAACGGGGUAGCACCACUAACAGACCCGUCACCUCAAGGGGCACUUCCUGAGUUUCUCACGAGGGCAUCACCCAGGUGUUCAGUGCUGGGUCCUCUCAUGUAUUUUAGGAUCAGGCCCUUCCCUGCAGGUAUCAGUGUGAGGUUCUAAAGGACCCCGGGGGCCCUUCCUGCCCAGGAUAAGGGAGGGCUUUGGUGUGGGGCAGAUGGAUAGAAAUACCUGUGUCGUACCUGGGUGACCAGUCACAAUAGCAGCUCUGAAAGAGAAAACUAGUGUAAAGGACACGUCCCCAGGGAAACCCGGAUACUAACAGACAAAUGGCUUCAACACAGGAGCCCCUGACAAAGAAGAUGCUGGACGUCCCUGUCCUUAACCCUCAGACUGGAGACGGAAAUUCUACGUGUCCUCCAGUGGCUUCCUACUCUUCUCACAGAACAGUCUUGGCUCCUUGACGUGGUAUGAGAAGCAGGAGCACGUCCCCCGGCCCCCGCACCUCCACAGUGAGUGAAGUGGCCCUGACUCGGCUUGGCUUCCGCCAUCCAUCAUGGAAGGCUUUGGCAGACCGCUGUGGAAACAAACUCCUAAAUAUUUUAAACAGAGACCAUGGCUGACAGGAGUCAAACUUUCUGUAUUAAGGGAGGAUUAAAACCUCAGCUAUUUCCAGUAAUUUAUUAUGCACCCGCUCAUAAACACAUUGCACUGGUCACGGAAUGUAUACGUGUAGCAGGCCCUCCAGAGACAGAUGAAGAACACUUCAAGGGCAUCAAGGGCACCCAGGUUCCAGCAUGGAAGCAGAGUCACAGUUGACAACCUUUGCACAAAUUCUGUCCCCAAGAGAACAAAAAUAUUCUGAGGAGCAAGCUUGAAGGGAUUGAACCCGUGUCCCCUGCAGUGGAAGUGCAGAGUCUUAACCACUGGAUCACCAGCGAAGUCCCUCAGAUUAUACUGCUGAACUAGAUAUAGGGAAGCACUUCCCCUCCAGUUACUCAUGACUUACAGCAAUUUGGUAAAUUAUAUACCUUGCUGAGUAAAACUGAAAUAUUUUUCUUUUCUCUCUGGCUGGUUCCUCCAGAAACUGGAGAUCCUUGGGUUCUGAGCAGCCUUAUCAGGUGAAUGGGAAAGACUGUCUGUCUCCUGGCAUGUACAGGAAUCUUGAUAUUUUGGGGACCAAGAAUGCCACCGAGGCAGAAUCUGAUGGCAGGCCUUUGGCAUGGAUUUCCUGGCCUUGAGAGGCCUUUGGGAAUUCAGUCUAAGACUCCUGAGGAGUUCCACCACAGGCAGUUUGGGAAAGCCUAUGUAGUCAACUGACCAGACUUAAUUUACAUGUUUGUGGAGAACACUGCCUGCUUUAAGUCUACUGCUAAAAGCACAUGUACAAUGCUUGUGUGGCAAUUGGGUAUAAAUAAUAAAAUGUAUGGCCUAUAAAGUGUAUACCCAUUAACAUACCUCUGAGCCUGUUCACAAUAUUUGAUCAGUUUUCCCCCAUCAUGAAUAUCUAGGCAAAUAUAAAGGAGGCCUAGCACCAAGGGACAUGAUCUAGACCUGGGGCAAGAAGCUAAAUCACCCUGGCAUCAAGGGACAUGUUUUGGUCUGUUGAAGAAUUUGCAAUUAACAAGGGAGACGAUGGGAAAUCUACAUAUUUUGAGGUCUGGUCAUGCUGGCUCUGCAUCUUUUGUAAAAGAAUGCUGCCUAUAACCUGAAAUACACAGGACAGCCUACAGGAUAACCUAACCUUGACCUGACCUGAACAGAGAAUAACAGGAGCAUCAGGACCUGACUGUGACCUGGCCUACGCAGACAGCUACAUCCAACAACACAAAGUUUGCAACAACUAACCACGCCCCUCCCUCAUCUUGCCUUUAAAGGGCUUUGCUAAAAGCCUUUGGGGAGUUCCAGCUUUUUAAGGCAUAAGCCACCCAUCUCUUUGCCUGGCCCUGCAAUAAACAUUUCUCUGCUCCAAA